UCCGGAGCUAACGCGUUAAAUCGACCGCUGGGGAGUACGGCCGCAAGGUUAAAACUCAAAUGAAUUGACGGGGGCCCGCACAGCGGUGGAGCAUGUGGUUUAAUUCGAUGCAACGCGAAGAACCUUACCUGGUCUUGACAUCCAUAGAAUCUUUCAGAGAUGAGAGAGUGCCUUCGGGAGCUAUGAGACAGGUGCUGCAUGGCUGUCGUCAGCUCGUGUUGUGAAAUGUUGGGUUAAGUCCCGCAACGAGCGCAACCCCUAUCCUUUGUUGCCAGCACGUAAUGGUGGGAACUCAAAGGAGACUGCCGUUGAUAAAGCGGAGGAAGGUGGGGACGACGUCAAGUCAUCAUGGCCCUUACGACCAGGGCUACACACGUGCUACAAUGGCGUAUACAAAGGGAUGCGAAGGUGCGAACUGGAGCGGACCUCACAAAGUACGUCUAAGUCCGGAUUGGAGUCUGCAACUCGACUCCAUGAAGUCGGAAUCGCUAGUAAUCGUGAAUCAGAAUGUCACGGUGAGUACGUUCCCGGGCCUUGUACACACCGCCCGUCACACCAUGGGAGUGGGUUGCACCAGAAGUAGAUAGCUUAACCUUCGGGAGGGCGUUUACCACGGUGUGGUUCAUGACUGGGGUGAAGUCGUAACAAGGUAACCA
rnacentral:rRNA from 1 species